AUGAAGAACUUGAAAGAUAAAAGAACCAAGAUUUAUCCCUCAACUACGAGGGGAGGUAAGGAACUACCAUCUAGCUCUGCACUUGAUUCACCUUCUGUUUUGAGUAAACUUGCUACACCUACUCCUGCUAUUCAUUCUGAUAUGACGCAUGUUAUUGAUGAUGCCACUUCUGCUUUGCAUGAUACUUAUGAUGAAACUACUUCUAUACUUGCUAAUAUUGUGCCACUAGGUGAAUUUCUUGAUGAACAACUUGCUAGGGUUAGAGAGAAUGAAAUUAUUGAAACUGAUAAUAUUGAUGAAAGUGAUGAUGAAGAUUCUCCCCCUAGAUAUGAAUUGCCUGUUGUGCCUGAGGGUUAUGUUAUGGAUGAAGAAACUGCUAGAGAUAUUUUAGCUUGCAGUGAUAGAUAUGAUCUUACGAAACUGUUAGCUAAGCUGAAAGAAAAAUCUUUGAAUGCUAGAAUGAAAUAUGACCCUGCUUUUGCUACUUCACCUAUAUGUAUUUCUGAUAAGGAUUAUGAUUUCUCUAUCGAUCCCAAGUUAUUUACUUUGGUUGAAUCUGAUCCUUUUUAUGGCUAUGAAUCCGAAACUGUUGUGGCACAUCUUAGUAAAUUAAAUGAUAUAGCCAUCCUAUUUAGUAAUGAUGAGAAAACUCGCUAUUACUUUAUCCUUAAGUUUUUUCCGUUCUCAUUAAAGGGUGAUGCUAAAACAUGGUUUAAUUCUCUUGAUCCCGGUUGUGUGUGUAGUCCCCAGGAUAUGAUUUAUUACUUCUCUGCUAAAUAUUUCUCCGCUCAUAAGAAACAAGCUGCUUUAAGCGAAAUAUACAAUUAUGUGCAAAUUGAAGAAGAGAGUGUCCCACAAGCUUGGGGGAGGCUUCUCCAAUUACUUAAUGCUUUGCCUGAUCAUCCUCUCAAGAAAAAUGAAAUACUUGAUAUCUUUUAUAAUGGACUAACUGAUGCUUCCAAAGACCACGUGGAUAGUUGUGCUGGUUGUGUUUUCAAGGAAAGAAAUGUUGAUCAAGCUGAAUUGCUAUCGAAUAAUAUGUUGAGUAAUGAAAAUGGUUGGACACUUCCUGAACCAACUCCUAAGCCAACUCCGAAGAAAAGGGGUAUUCUAUUUCUCAGUCCUGAAGAUAUGCAAGAGGCAAAGAAAUCUAUGAAAGAAAAGGGUAUUAAAGCUGAAGAUGUUAAGAAUUUACCACCUAUUAAAGAAAUACAUGGUCUUGAUAACCCGCCAUAG
rnacentral:rRNA from 1 species